GACGAACGCUGGCGGCGUGCUUAACACAUGCAAGUCUACGAGAAAAAGGUAGCAAUAUCUUGAGUAAAGUGGCGCAAGGGUGAGUAAUAUAUAAGUAAUCUGCCCAUGGGUUUAGAAUAACUCGUCGAAAGGCGGGCUAAUACUAAAUAAUGCAGCGGCAUCGCAUGAUGACGUUGUUAAAGCCUAUAUGGCGCCUAUGGAUGAGCUUGUAUCAGAUUAGCUAGUUGGUAAGGUAACGGCUUACCAAGGCUACGAUCUGUAGCUGGUCUGAGAGGAUGAUCAGCCACACUGGAACUGAGACACGGUCCAGACUCCUACGGGAGGCAGCAGUGAGGAAUAUUGGGCAAUGCCCGUAAGGGUGACCCAGCAACGCCGCGUGGAGGAUGAAAGCCGUAAGGUUGUAAAUUCCUUUUGAAGAGGAAGAAAAUUUCCGAUCGAAUCGGAACCUGACUGUACUCUUAGAAGAAGCCCCGGCUAACUACGUGCCAGCCGCCGCGGUAAUAC
rnacentral:rRNA from 1 species